rnacentral:rRNA from 1 species
UACGGAGGGGACUAGCGUUGUUCGGAAUUACUGGGCGUAAAGCGCACGUAGGCGGAUUUGUAAGUCAGGGGUGAAAUCCCGGGGCUCAACCUCGGAACUGCCUUUGAUACUGCAAAUCUCGAGUCCGGAAGAGGUGAGUGGAAUUCCUAGUGUAGAGGUGAAAAUUCGUAGAUAUCAGGAGGAACACCGGUGGCGAAGGCGCCACUCUGGGCCGAAACUGACGCUGAGGAGCGAAAGCGUGGGUAGCAAACAGG